AAACCCCUGUUCAGUUGGCCAAAUGGAUUUAUGUCUUUAUUGCUCAUUAAUUGGGGCAAAGGAAAUGUCAUUUUAAAACUCAAGCAGGCCGGGCGCGGUGGCUCAAGC
rnacentral:snoRNA from 1 species